AGCAGCCGCCACGGUAAUACGUAGGGUGCAAGCGUUAAUCGGAAUUACUGGGCGUAAAGCGUGCGCAGGCGGUUAUAUAAGACAGAUGUGAAAUCCCCGGGUUCAACCUGGGAACUGCAUUUGUGACUGUAUAGCUAGAGUACGGCAGAGGGGGAUGGAAUUCCGCGUGUAGCAGUGAAAUGCGUAGAUAUGCGGAGGAACACCGAUGGCGAAGGCAAUCCCCUGGGCCUGUACUGACGCUCAUGCACGAAAGCGUGGGGAGCAAACAGGAUUAGAUACCCCGGUAGUCCCUGUCUCUUAUAC
rnacentral:rRNA from 1 species